AUUGAACGCUGGCGGCAGGCCUAACACAUGCAAGUCGAACGAGUCGCGGGCGGGAGAGCAAUGUCUGGGAAACGGCCUGAUGGAUGGGGUUAACUACUGGAAACGGUUGUUAAUACCGAAUACCAUAAGAUGUGCCCAGAUGGGACUAGCUUGUUGGUGGGGUAAAGGCUCACCAAGGCGACGAUCCCUAGGUGGUCUGAGAGGAUGACCAGCAACACUGGAACUGAGACACGGUCCAGACUCCUACGGGAGGCAGCAGUGGGGAAUAUUGGACAAUGGGCGCAAGCCUGAUACAGCCAUGCCGCGUGUAUGAAGAAGGCCUUCGGGUUGUAAAGUACGUUCAGCGGGGAGGCGGUACCCGCAGAAUAAGCACCGGCUAACUACGUGCCAGCAGCCGCGGUAAUUC
rnacentral:rRNA from 1 species